rnacentral:lncRNA from 1 species
CUUUCCUACGCUAAAAACCACUGAGUGGAGUAUUUAGUACACAGGAAGUCGGCCAGAGAAACAUUUCUCAUAUUUGAAGGCCGGAAAGAGGGACAUUUCUGACACCGGAAGUCAGUGAGAGGACUCUUUCCCACACAGGAAGUCAGCUAGAGAGCCGUCUCCCCUCUCUGGAGCCGAGAGAGGCCGGUUUCCCCCACCAUAGCAGGGCUGGGAGAAAGGGAUGGGGAGAGUCCCUCCUGCCACUGACCCAGGAUGGAUAAAAGUACCCCUUUCAUAGAAGGAAGAAAAUGGGAACAAAGGUGCUGCUGAUCAUCUGAGGUUGCCUGCAUGGCAGUGAAGAACAUGGACCUUUGGGUAGCCCACCUGGGAGGAAUUUUCCAGAGAUCACUGUCUGAUGACCCUGUCUUGGAAUUGGAGCCAUGCAAGUUACACUGACCACGUUUGGGUUGGGAUAUUGAGGAGGUUAUGGUUAAAAGCAUACGAUGGGAGAUCAUAUUGUACUUGCGAGUGAGACCCGGCUGGAGGAAUGUUUUAAUUCUUCGGAAAUACCAAGUGGUCUCUAGAUGGGUUUUCACUAUUUUUCCCAGGCUAGUCUCCAACUUCUGGGCUCAAGCGAUCCACCCGCCUUGGCCUCCUAAGUCCUAGGAUUAUAGACAGAACACUGAAGAUUCUGCUCUCAGGGUGUUGAUUGACGUCUGGAAGGCAGAGACUCGUGGAUUAGCAAGCAUGUGUAAGAAAGUGCUCUGGAUGCCACAGGGUGGUAAUUUGUGCAUGGAAAAUGGCUGGGGUGAAGAGGAGACUAGGCUUUAUCUUGUCAGGUGGUCUCUGUGGUUCCAGUACCCAUGAGGGAGCUGAGUCUGAAGGACCUUGGAGCUUUGCAGAUAUAAAGAAAAAGCUGAUUUAAGCUUCCCCAGUUUUCCCUGCCCCCUUCAUGAAAGAAUUACAGCAUAUAAUAAGAAAAAUCUGGAGAAACACUUAUUUUUAUGGAGGGCUGGAGGACCCCAAGGUCAAACAGUGAAUGGGACUGAACAAAAGGUAAGGAUGUGACUCACCCAUUCAGUAAAACUUGUUGAUGCCACAGUGAAAUUUCCCGCCUAGUGCACUAGCUAGAAAUGCAAAAGGCACUCACCGUGGAGUGUAAUAAGUGGGGGUUAAACACAUGCUAUGGAGGAGAACAGAAGGGGAACCCACACUGGUGACACCAGGCAUGGCUUCCUGAAGAAAGUGGCCUCUAAGCUGAUACUUGUAGGAUGUGGAGGAGCUAGCCAGGAGAGUGGGCAAUGGAGUUGAAAGAAACUUCUUGUCAGAGGGGAAAAGCAUGUGCAAAGGUCCUGAGGUGAGAGAGAGCAUGUCCACUCAGGGAAGUGAAGGAAGUCCAGUCUGGUGAGAGUGUUAAGUCUGAGAGAAAGACUAGAUAGAACGAGGCUCGGAGGUCUCCUAAUUUUCAUCCCCUGAACUUUAUGCAGUUGUAAUUUUAAGGUCAUUUGUGACAUUAUUCAGUGUUUCCCUCACUGAAUUGUGAGCUCAUAAGGGCAGUAGUUGUGUCUGUCUUGGUCAAAGCUGAAUCCCCAGGACCUAGCAUGGUGCUUAGCAGCUAUAAAUAGUGUUGAAUGAAUGAACGAGUAAGGUUAGAGAGGCAGGCAUGAGCCAGAUCCUGAAUUGAUUUGAAUGCCAUGGUAAAUUGCUGAGCUUCUUUCCACUGUGGGUGGCCGGGAGCUGGACUGGGCUCUAUUUCAGGCUACAAGAGGAUCAAGUAGACAUUUGGUGGUGGAGUGGGGCCAUGAAAAAAAAAAAAAAAAACACUUUGAUAGGACACCCUUAGCAGACAGGGACUAUCACAGGAGUCCUAUAUUUAGAGCUUAAAUAACCAAGAGUGGCUGGCUCUUGCCUGCCGUGGCAUUUACUGAUUAUGGUCACUCCCUGGCUAAAAUUCAGGGCAUGUGCCUGUCUCUGAGGCCCACCAGGUGUCUCUUUCAGCCCUGAUGGGCUGUUUGUUGAGGGUACAGCCUGUGUGUUUCAUCUUGAGCUGUCGUCCACAGUGUCCUAAGGCCACUAGAAGUGCUAACCCAGAGUCCAUUCCAAGUCAUGUCGAAUUUAUCUCUUGGGGUGACUGGGCAGUUGGAGGAAACACCCUGUAUUGUAAUUGGCUUUGGACACUGAGCAUGGUGCCUGGCACAGAGUAGGCACUCAGCAAAUUCUUUCUGAAUUAUGAGUGAAUGCCUGCUAUAAAUGAAUCCUUAGAUAUCAUUAAAUUCCAACAUGCAACGGACAGAUGAGGAAGUCGAGGCCCAGAGAAGAGCCUUGAUCAGGGUCCCACUGCGAAUGGUCAGGGAACACAAGUCUAGAGCCCCUGACCCGUGUCCUUUGUCCUAUUGUGAUUGUAAAUGGUAAAAGUAAAAGUAGAUGGGCAUCUCCUGCCAGUGAGUUCUAUCUAAUCCCUCCCAUUCCAUCUAGUUUAUCCAGUCUCAUCAUGUACUAUCCAAGUCACCCCACUCUAUCCCACUACACCCCAAACUACCCACCCCUCCCCAUCCCAUCCCACCAUAUCCUGUCCCAUCUCACUUAACCCCUCCCCAUCCCACCCCCACCUCAUCCCAUCGCAUCUCACCCCAUCUCAUCCCACCCCAUCCAUCCCAUCCCACCCAUCCCACCCCAUCCCCUCUCACCUCCUCCCACUCCACUCCAUCAAUUCCCAUCCCAUCUCAUCUCAUCCCACUCCGCUCCAUCCAUUCCCAUCCCAUCUCAUCUCAUCCCAUCCCAUCCCAUCUCAUCCCAUCCCAUCCAAUCCCAUCUCAUCCCAUCUCAUCCCAUCCCAUCCCAUCCCACCAUAUCUGUCCCAUCUCACUUCACCCCCCCAUCCCACCCCCACCUCAUCCCAUCCCAUCUCACCCCAUCUCAUCCCACCCCAUCCAUCCCAUCCCACCCCAUCGCCUCUCAUCUCCUCCCACUCCACCCCUCUCAUCUCCUCCCACUCCACUCUAUCCCAUCCCAUCCCAUCCCAUCCCAUCCCAUCCCAUCCUAUCCCACCCCAUGUUUCUCCACUCUACUUCAUCCCAUGCUGUCCCACCCCUACUUUCAUCUUCACUCCCCUUCCCCUUAUUUCUUCCCUGUUCCUUUCCCUCACAUUUCCCCCAUCCCAUUCCAAACAUUUCCAUCCUUUCCCAUCCCUUUUCCUUCCACUCCAUCCCUUUCCAUCCCAUUCAGUCUCACUCCAUCCUUCCCUUUCCACCUCAACCCUUGACAUCCCUCCCCACCUCAUUUCAUCCUAUCCCAUGCCUUCUCAUCCCACCCCCUCUCAUCCCAGCCCUCCCCUUCCCACCCCACCCCAUCCCAUCCCACCCCAUAUCCUUUCAAUCCUGCAACUAUCCCAUUCCACACCAUCUCACCCCACUCCAUUCUUUUCUGCUUCGCUCUACUCCAUUCCAUUCCAUUUCACUCCACUUUAUUCCACCCUUCCCAUUUCAUCUUAUUCUAUUGUAUUAUAUUUUUUGUACCAUCUCGUUCCAUUUGAAUCCACUCCAUUCCAUUCUACUCCAUUGCAUUUUAUUCCAUACAUUCCAUCAUUUCCACUUCAUCCCUUCCAUUCUACCACAAUCAAUGUCAUCCCUAUUCAUCCCAUUCAUAUCUUUCAUGCUUAGAAGUAUUUACCGUGUGCCUCCAAGAUGCCAAACCCUGAAUUUCUCAGGAUGAAAAGCAGGCUUUGAUUUUGGAGACAAAGAACACGUUGCUUGACAAGGUGUCUGAUCCAUCUCUCUGCUGCAUCCUUCAGCUUAGCCUGUCAAUAAACCCAGGAGCAAAAGGAUCUUAUGAUUGUCCAUUCACUGAUAAGCAGAACUUUGGUUCCCAUUUGGGUAUAAUUUUGGGGUUGUAUUGCAGGGAGUCUCAGCAGAAGAGUGAGUGGGUAGUCAUCAAAUCCUUUCCUAAACUUUAUCCCUCAUUCUUGAGGAAUGCUCAGGCCAGUUUCUCACUUGCAUUCCUGUUCUCCUGUGGGGAUGGGGAGCUUUCCAGAUCCUAGAGUCUCAGGAGGGACCCAGAUGGUCUGCUGAGCUGUGUGUGAUUUCCUCCCCUAAUGGCCUUUGCCCAACCCCGGUUGGGUUUCUUCUCCCCACAGGCUGCCCUUUUCCCUCCAUCCCACUUUUCCUGCAGCACAUUCUCUGCCUGGAAGCUUGUUGGCCAUGCUCAGAUGGGAUUCCCUCACACGUGCACCCAAUCCAUCCUCAAGUCCACUCUGCCUCAUUAAAGGCUGGGUAUUUACAUGAGCUGCUGCUGUGUUUCUAGCACGCCCCCUGUGCUUGGACCCCAAGCUCGUCCGGAAGACCCCCUAAGAUGCAGUGGCUCUCUGCCUUCUCUUGGCUGCCCCCUCUUCCCCAGCCUUCCCCAGGUCGUCUCCUGCUUGCCCUUGAGUCUCCUGGGCUUGGGAAGGGGAAAGCACCUGGCACAUAAUUGCUGCUUAAUAAACGAAUCCAUCCUCAUUAGGGCUUGAUUGGUCAUUAGCCUCAUUAUCCAGCAGCAGAGGGCUGGGGAAGUUUUCAGAAUGCCGGUGCAGAGGGAGACCAGUCGGGGCGUGGACUCUAAUCUCUAUUUUGUGGACAGGACAACAUCCAGAGGUGUCCAGAAAGAAGGUGGCCUUGACCAGAAUUCCUCAGCCUUGGCUGCACAUGAGAACCAGUGAGGGAGCCCUAAAAACGCUGAUGCCCAGGCUCCACCCAGACCUAUAGGUGCAGAACCUCUAGGGGAGGGCCCAGCCAUCGCGCUUUGAAAAAUCUCCUCAGGUCUCACAUGAGUACUUCACAAUGGGGAAACUGAACUGGAACUCUACUGACAACGCAGUUGGGAGUUCAAACUUAAUAACCUUCCAGAGUUGGUAUCAAAUUCAGACGCUGACGCUCCUUGGAGAGGUUCUUUGCUGCAAGAGGAUGGAAAGGAUCACUGUGAUUUUGUUUUUCUCCUGCUGCUCUGUCUGGAAGCCAUGUGAGGAGGACAUCUGAGCAGCCCUGUGGAGAGGCCCCCAGCCAACAGCCAGCAUGAACUUGCUGGGCAUGUGAGUGCACCACCUUGAAAGUAGAGCCUCAACCCCUGGUCAAGCCAUCAGGGAGAGCUCAAGCUGGCCUGUUGGAAGAUGACAGGCCAUAUGCAACAGACGUGAAGUGUCCCAGCUGAUCCCCUUCCAGAACACCCACCUUCCAGAUGACCACAGAUGCAAGGGUGAGCCAGCCAAUAGCUGCUGAGACAUUCCCAGAAAGACAGAACAUCCAGCUGACCCAUGGACUCAUGGGCGAUCAUGGAUAAAUGGAUAUUGUUUCAAGCUACUAGGUUUGGGGUUGGUUUGUUACGCAGCAAUAGCUAACAGCUACACCUCUAUUUUAAGGAGUUGUGAAGAUAAAUUGCAAAGGUACAGAAAAAUGAAUAGCUAUAACAGCUACUAGUGAUUGAGUGCUGGCUCUGCCUGGUACUGUGCUCAGGAUUGGCAUGCAUUAUCUCAAAGAGUUGCACAGGCUAGAAGGGCUGCAGCUGAAGAUUCUAGAAGAGUUCAGGUAUAAUGCCUGGCACAUGGUACCUGUUUCAUGUAUGCUAGUUGUUGGAUGCUGCUGAUGCUGGCAGCACGUGGAACUCCUGACACAUGCCUCUGAUUUGGUAGUGGGGUCUGAACUUUGUAAUCUGUGUGUCCAGAGACCUUGGGAAGUCUUCAGCCAAGGGCAGACCAGGAGGUAGCUUUUGUGAUCUGAGUGCAGAGAAGUUUCUUAGAGUGAAUGGCAUCCAGAUAGGGUGGGGAAAAAGCAUUAGCCAGGGUGCUCCACACACUCCCCUCACUAGUGUGGUCCCUGGACCAGCAGCCUCAGCCUCCCCUGGGCCCUUAUUAGAAAUGCAGAAUCUCAGGUCCUACCCCUGCUUACUGAAUCAGUAAGAGCAUUUUAACAAGAUCCCCAGGGGAUUUGUGUGCAUGUUAGAGUUUGUCCAGAACACUCUUCUCAAGCUAUCUGUGCUGAGACACCAGUAUUUUUUUCAAAUUCCAAUUUAUUGCAGAAUGACAGUUUUAAAAAAUGCAGUAAAAAAGCAAAUUCCUAGAAAAAUUAAAUGAAAAAUAAAAUAUACAAAAUCUAAGCCCUUUUUUCAUUAUUAUAUUCAAUGAUACAAAAUUGCCAUCUGCCAAAUUGCUACAAAACUUUCUGAAUACUUUUCUUUCUCUGUACGUAUUCUUUGUGGGUACCUUACUGUGGACAGGUAACAAACGACUUGCCAUGUGGCAUGGGCUAUGGACUGCCCGACAAGUAGCACCAUCUUAGAGUUACCAAUGAUAAUGAUACUAAUACAAUAUGACCACACAUGAUUGUGUGCUUGAUAUCAGCUCAUAAUAAGGGCUUACAAGCUUAAAUACCUGGAAAUCCUCUCAGCAAACUGUGGGGCAACUAAUGUAUUUAUCUCCAUUUUGUAGAUUAGGUCAUCGAGGCCCAGAGAGGUUAAGCAACUUGCCCAUGGUCACACAGCAUACAAGUGGAGCACCCUGAGCCCACCUGUUUGACCACUACAAGGCAGAGGGAGGGAGAGGAAGGCACCACCAGUGAGAGGCACAAGGACAUUGUCCAUUGUCUCUUGUACCCUAUGUGAGUGACAGCUGUCAAAAAACCAGGUGUGGGGCCCUGGCUGUCUCUGUAACCGCAUUGCAGUGGAGGCUGGAGCCCAGCAAACUCUUUACCAGCCCCAGGCUAGGGCUAGGAGGAUCACCCUCGCACCUCACUCUUUGGUGCAGCCUGCAGGAAAGGAAGCCCUCUGUGAAGUGUAUCACCCCAGCCUGCCGCGUUGCCAGAGGUGAGGGGAAAAGGGCGCCUGCCGAUCGCCUUCUCCCUCUUGCUAUCUCUUUUUCCUGAAGUCAUAGGAGCCAGGCAGGAGGCUGGGGGUCUGGCAGGCUGGGUGAUAGCUAGUUAUCGACAGGUUGAUGGCUGCCCCAGAAGACUGCCCGAGGACAUCAAGGCGGAAGCCACUUCUGAGGCCCGCUGCUCCCAGAGAGCCGGCUGCCGGCAUCUCUGCCCAGGGCUUGGCGCUUCCCCUCACCAUCUCAUUAAUCCUGAUUCACAGAAAAAGGCAGCAGGCAGGGGCCCUCUUAACAGGCCGAGCGGGCGACUGAUUUGCCUUCACUGAAGACAAUAGUGCCCAGGAGACCCGGCAUUGCUGAAUUAUUCAAAUCAGCCGUGGCAGGGAAAUCUGAGGACACAGAGUGGCUGACAUCCCCCGGCCCUUGCAAGCUGCCCUCCUUCCCUGCCCUGGGGUGCUGGUACCUGGCAGCCUGGGGUGGCCAGCACAGAUCCCCUUGCCAGAGAUGAGGGCUGCUCCCGACCUUCCCUCCUCCGUGGAUGGAAGUUGAAAUUGGUGUUGAUCAUCUCUAAGCACCUUGGAGCUCUAGUAAUGGAUCCAAAAUGACAUUUCCCACCUGCUGAUCCCUGGAGGGACAUUCUGACAAGGACUUCUGGAUGAACAAGUGAUGGGGCAUGGGAAGAUGAAGGCAGCAGGAGAUGGCUGUUCUGCCAAGGUGUGUGUGUGUGUGCGUGUGUGUGUGCAUGAUUCAAAAAAAGCAGAGGAUAUCGGUUGAACCCUGGCUUGGCCAACCUUAGUUUUCUGCUCCUAGAAAAGAAACACAAUGAAUAGGCAGGUAUCCCUGGCAAAUGUGGAGAUUCAGGAGCAAAACCACCCAGAGUCGGUGCUGACGCUGGGUGAAGACAGAGCAAACAGAAGUUUGAGAGGUCACGUGCAACAGACGUGAGCCCAGCAUGGUGGUCUCCCAGUGGGGAGGGAGUCUUGGAGAGUAUGAAGGGUAAACUGAGACCCAGAGAGGGGCAGGGACUUGCCCAAAGUUGUUAAGCAGUUUGUGGCCAAAAUGGAAUGAAAAGCCAUGGUGUUCAGCUUGCAGUUGGAGGCUCUCUUUGUUAAUAAUACCUAUCCCUGCCCAAGCACAGACACCUGAAGGCUUUUUAAUAUAUUUCAUUGCUAACUGUAUGAUAAUCUCAUGAGGCUGAUACAACUAAUAUUCCCAUUCUACUAAUGAGGAAAUUGAGGCUUGCAGAGAUUCAGCCACUGGACAGGGUAGAAAGUGACAAUCUGGGAUUGGAAAGGUGGUCUGUCUUAUGCUGAACCCUUAAUUGCUGUGACUCAGUGGGAGGUCAGAGGCACCAGGACUCCAGAUCGCUCCAAAACAUCCCUCCUGGCCAAGGCUAUAGUGUCAGCAUGACCUCAGUUUGUGAUGGCUUCCUGGGGGUAAGCAUUGCCACUUACUUGUGUCCUCCAUGGGAAGGAGCACACAGAGUUUUAGCCCUUCGCAGAAAGACUGACUUCAAAGCACCCUCAGCCAUCCCAGGCAUCUGAAAGGAGACCCCUGAGGAGGGGACCUCGAAUGUUGGAAGGAAAUUUAUGAAUGAAGAGGUUCGGAAUCUCUGGGCACAAGAUCCACCUCUUUGGGGGAAGCCAGUGGCGUCUUCUGUGUAAAGCUGCCAUUGGCAGGACAACUUUCUCUAGGAGAGGCAGAAGCUGGGGGUGGUGGUGGGGUUAAACCAACCUUGCACAUUGGUGGGAGGGGGCAUGGGGUCAGUGUGUGAAUAACAGCCUCUGCUUUUCUGCAUCAGCCAAACAACAAUAGAGUGGGAAUGGCAACCUGUAUUGAGGGUUCACCAUGUGCUAAGCCCUUUCUUUAUGUGUAGAAGCUCAUUUAGUCCUCAAGACCAUUUUAUGGGGUCAGUAUCUAUGAGGUCAGCAUCGUUAUGUCCUUUUUGCAAAGGAAGAAAAUGAGACGCAGAAAAGAAGACAUUUAAGCCAUUUACCCAGGACGCUGCUGCUGGGGUGAGUGUAAAGGAGCUGGGAUUUGAAAUCCAGGCUUCAUAAACCACGUGGCCUCUAGGAUAUUGUGGCUAGGAUUCCCUUCUCUGUUCAACUUGAAGUCCCUCUCGGCAGAGUGGUGUCCUUUUUCUCUGCCCAUAGUGGCCCAUUCCCGGGGUUGUGAUCCAUGCACGGGCAUCCCCAGAAGGAGGCUUAGAAGCUCCUUGAAGCAGCUUAAAUGCACCUUUGCCGUUGUGCCUCUACAUGCCCUCUUCCUUUUCUGAGAACAACCAACUUCCUCAGGCCUUCGAAUCAUCUCUCAUUUGGAAUAAUCACUGUCUGAAUGGACGAGGUCUCCAGCAUUUGUGUGGUGCGGCGCGGGCCUCCCAGGAUCCUCCCUGCAGAAAAACGAAACGAAGAGAGAUUUAUCUCCUGGGUCAGAUAAAGGUGACUAAAUGCAAACUGGCCGAUUCCUUUCGGCAAACAGUUCCCUGGGGAGGGCUCCUACAAGGAGGAGAAGAGCCAAUCGAUCCCGGAAAUGCUUCGAGGUGACUUACAGGGAAGACUUAAAGGAAAAAGCCCUCGUGUCUUUACAGCCUCCGGCGACUCUUUCAGCCUUGUAAAACUGCCCGUACCAGCCCAUAGAGCGAGGAAGGAGGGGGUCGGGGGAGCUUCUUCCUUACCAUUGCUGCAAAGGUGGAACUCUGCAAAAUUUGACCUCUGAGAUCUCUAGCUGAGUCCUUCAUUCAUCUGUCAAGCAUCUAUUGAGUGCCUACUGUGUGCCUGCUGUGCACUUCGUAUGCUCUAUCCUGCUGAGUCCUCCAGAUGACACCAUCAUUACCCCCAUUUUCUAGCAGAGAAACUGAGGGUAUCUGAAGGGAGGCAAACGUUUCUGGAGUCCUAAAGCAAGCAAGAGGGUAGGUCCUGAGAUACGGAUUUGCAUUCACCAGCCUCCCUGGUUUGGUUUCCUUCCUGCAUCACUCCCUCUGUCAUCAGAUCUGGUUCUCACCCAGCUUCAUCUCCAAGUCUGGCUCAGGCUUGUUCUUCUCUAUCUCUCUUCCUUUCUCCUUUCUGCUCUUAGACUCAUAAGAAACCUUCCUUAUAAUCUGAGGAAACAGCCUGUGCAUCUUGGAGACUGAGUUUCUUUUGGGAUCCCCAGGUUCACACCAGCCUUUUCUCCCAUAGUCAUCCCGCCCUCAUUUCAUUAAGGUACCAGUAGCACCAGCUGGGAAGGGUAACUUGGCUUGCGGUCUGCAAACUUAUUCUGGCCCUGCAAAAGGCCAAAUAGUAAAUACUUUAAGUUUUGUGGUGCAUUGCGCUAUUGGGGUGCCAAGACAAUAUGUAAAUGAAUGGGCAUAGCUGUGUUCCAAUAAAACUUUAUUUACAAACACAGGUGGUUGGCGAGAUUUGGCCCAUAGGUUGUCAUUUGUUGAUCCUUGGGAUAGAGGAUAAAAGAUCUGGUUUUGGGGUUUGCAGACCUGAGGUCUCCCCGCAGCCCACUUUUUUUUUUUUUUUACUUCCUUGCUGUGUUACCUUGGGCAAGUUGGUGCAGCUCUCUGAGCCCCGUUUCUUUUCUGUGGAAUGAGAUAAUUAUAGCACCUGCCGCCUGGGCUUUUGCUAAGUUUAAAUGAAACCAUGCAGUGGAUUGCACAUAGUCAGUGAGCAAACUGGUAGCUGUUAUUUUAUGACGAAUGACUUUAAACCUUCUGAGGAAAGCAACCCCCCUUCCCUCAUUUGGGGGUAAGGGAAGCUGAUGUGCCAGUGUUCUGAUAUUUUGUGGUUCAUUAUGCUGUUAAGAUUUCCAUUCUUUUCAAGUUAAUGCACUUGCAUUUUAAUGACUUAGGAUGCAGAAUCUGCCUCCUUUGGGAUGGAACCAGCUGGCUGGCCUUUUGUGAGGGUGAUAGUUGGUAAAACUCUGGACACCCCCAUGAUCCCUUUGAGUCUAACCUCUGGUUCCCUUUCCUGGCUCCAGAAGGACUGACUCAGUGGGUCUAGCAUGACCACCAGUGAUCCUCUGGUUGAGAGCUGAUCACAAGUGGCCAAUUAAUCUAUUACUUGCAGAUACAUUUUCCAUUAGCAGUGGCGGAAUCAAUUAGUCAGCGUAAUGAACUUGAGUCUGGGCAAACAGGAAGGAGAGGUUAACCCCUUGGUUUCCAAAGGAGGCUGGGAUGGCAAGGGAGCGUGGAGAAGAUCUGGAGAGAAAUCGAGAGGCUGGAUAGGGACAGAGGUUUGGGAACCACAGUCAAGCUUCCAGGUAGUAAGAUGAGGUAGGUUGGACCCAAAGAGCUCUAGCUUAGAGCCAGGAAAAAAUGGCUUCUCUAGUCAUGUGGACAUGACAGAGUCAUUUUGAGCUCAGUUUCCUCCUCUGCAAAUGGGGAUCAUAAUUGUACACACCUCAUAGGAUUGUUGUGAGGAACAAAUAAGACAAGUUGUAUGAAAUACAUAGCCCCAUGUUGGGAGCGGAAAUUCUCAGUGAAUGCUAAUCUUUCUGCUACCCCUUUUUUUCUGCCUCACCACAAGCCACGAAGAGGUGAAAAAGAGACUUCUUGACUUAGAGCUAAAAAUAGCAGAAACUUCUUACUAAAAUUACUCUAGCUCAGAUCCACAUUCAAAUGUGUUACAGAGGUCAGGACUCCAACAGGUGCCUUUACUGCAGGCCUUGUCAGGGACUUAAACUUCUGACAUGUAUCGUGACGCUCCACAAAGGAUUGGAGCAAAUUUCCCAGACGUAUUAGAAUGAAACAACAUUCUUUUCCCAUCUCAGAGCAUUGCACAGGACUGUGAGUUUUAUUGUUAAAAUGGUAGGAAACGAUGCAUUCCCCAAAUGCAUCGUUUGGGGACCUCUGGUCCCCAAAGGUGGACCAGAUAGAGUCCACCUUCUCCCAAAGCCCUCCCUGUCUAUGCAAGCAACUUUCUCACUCUUAUCAGUGUUGUUAUAUCACGUUGGUGCAAAAGAAAUUGCAGUUCUUGCCAUUACUUUCCAUGGCAAAAACCGCAAUUACUUUUGCACCAACAUAAUAGACUUGAAUUAGGGUCUAGUUACCUGGUGCAGUAAGACCAGAUAUCCACACGGAGGUCUUGCAGUGGUGGAAAGAAAGGUGUUUAUUUACCAGGUGCCAAGCAAGGAGGACCAGACGGCUAACGCUUAUAUCCUGACCUCCCGAUGGCUUGCAGGUAAGUGUUUUUAAACGCAGGGGUAAAUGUCGGGAGAAGCUAUAGGCAAGAUUGUAAAUCCAUACAUGGAGGUUACACCUUGGUCUUGGCCAAAAAGGGCAGGAUACCUUGAAGCAGAGGCUUACAGGUCAUAGGUAGAUUCAAAGACUAUCUGAUUUGUAACUGGUUAAGGAAGAGAAGCUUUGUUUAAAAUUUGGGGUCAGCAGAGAAGAACAUUAACUGGCUUUGGGGUUUGACUCUCUCCAGACUCCUCAGGAAGAAAUUUAGAACAAAAAAUGGGGGUCAGAGUUCAGCCAUCAGCUCCCCCUUAUCUGAGGUUUAGGUGACAGCAGAGCUGUUCAGUGGGGGUCAUUGGUGGGGGUUCAGGGUUCUGGAAAACAACUCAGGGGCAUAUGUUAAGAUGUUACUUUUAGUUUCUAUAGGGGAAUCAAACAUCUGACUAACUUCCUUGGUUCCUGUCUUAGCCUUGUUACUAUUACCCUCUUGCUUAUCAAGCUGCUUUUCUUUUCUUUUUUUAAGACAGGAUCUCACUCUGUCAUCCAGGCUGGAGUGCAGUGGUACUGUCUCAGCUCACUGCAACUUCCACUUCCUGGGUUCAAGCAAUUCUCCCACCUCAGCCUCCCGAGUAGCUGGGAUUACAGGUGCCCGCCACCACGCCCAGCUAGCUUUUGUAUUUUUUAUAGAGAUGGGGUUUCACCAUGUUGGCCAGGCUGCUCUUGAACUCCUGGCCUCAACUGAUCCACCCGCCUCGGCCUCCCAAAGUGCUGGGAUUACAGGCAUGAGCCACCACAUCCAGCCUCAAAUUACUUAUUUACCUCUUAGGGCUAGCUAGGUGCCUGGAAUUUCCCUUGAAGGAACUCGGAAUUUUCCUCUAUUUCCAUUCUUGGUGGCAGGGGCAUGCAGACCGCCAAAAGGGGGUCCUGCUCCGUCUCAGUGUGUUCCUGUCACAGACUGAAGGCCACACUGAGAAACUGAGUGUAGUGAGCCAGACGUGGUGAGAAACGAAAUCACAGAGGACAUGGGGGCACAGGGCCUUGGAGACUCUCACAGGUACUCUGGACGUCAUACAAACAGGCCAUCAGAGGUUUCUGUGCAGGGGAAGGAGAUACUAGGUCUUAAACAGGCCCCUCUGCUCAUCCACGUUAUAGUGUACAUCAGAACUCCACUCUUUUUAAAAAAUUUUUUAAAUUUUUUAUUUUUUUGUUUUUUGAGAUGGAGCUUCACUCUUGUUGCCCAGGCUGGAGUGCAAUGAUACAAUCUCGGCUCACUGCAACCUCUGCCUCCUGGGUUCAAGCGAUUCUCCUGCCUCAGCCUCCCUACUAACUGGGAUUACAGGCAUUCACCACCACACCUGGCUAAUUUUGUAUUUUUAGUAGAGAUGGGGUUUUGCUAUGUUGGUCAGGGUGGUCUUGAACUCCUGACCUCAGGUCAUCCGCCCACCUCAGCCUCCCAAAGUCCUGGGAUUACAGGCAUAAGCCACCGCGCCUGGCCUUUAAUUUUUUUUUAAGUUCUGGGUACAUGUGCAGGGUGUGCAGACUCGUUGCAUAGGUAAACGUGUGCCAUGGUGGUUUGCUGCACCUAUCAACUCAUCACCUAGGUAUUAAGCCCAGCAUGCGUUAGUUCUUUUCCCUAAUGCUCUCCCCCACCCCGCCCUUCCCCAACAGGCCGCGGGAAAUGUUGUUCUCCUCCCUGUGCCCAUGUGUUCUCAUUGUUCAGCUCCCACGUAUAAGUGAGAACAUGUAGUGUUUCGUUUUCUGUUCCUGCAUUAUUUUGCUGAGGAUAAUGGCUUCCUCUUUAUCUAGUCUACCAUUGAUGGGCAUUUGGGUUGAUUUCAUGUCUUUGCUAUGUAAGUAGUGCUGCAAUGAACAUACGCGUGCAUGUAUCUUUAUAAUAGAAUGAUUUAUAUUCCUUUUUGUAUAUAUUCAGUAAUGGCAUUGCUGGAUCAAAUGGUAUUUCCGGUUCUAAAUUUUUGAGGAAUUGCCACACUGUCUUCCACAAUGGUUGAACUAAUUUACCUUCCCACCAACAGUGUAAAAGCGUUCCUAUUUCUCCGCAACCUCACCAGCAUCUGUUGUUUCUUGACUUUUGAAUACAUGCAGCCAAACAUACGAAAAAUAGCUCAACAUCACUGAUCAUUAGAGAAAUGCAAAUCAAAACCACAACGAGAUACCAUCUCAUGCCAGUCAGAAUGGUGAGAACUCCUCUCCUUUUUAAGACUGAGUAAUGUCCCCUUGUGUGGGUAUACCACAGUCUGUUCAUCCCUUCACUCACUGACGGACAUGUGGGUUGUUUCCAGCUUUCGGCCGUUGUGAAUAGUGCUGCUGUGAACAUGGGUGUACACAUGUUUGUUUGAGUCCCUGUUUUCAGUUCUUUGGGGUAUAUACCUAGAAGUGGGAUUGCUGGGUCAUGUGAAUUUCACUUCCAUUAAUAAUAAUAAUAAAAGCUUCCUCUGGCUAUAGGGGCCACAAAGAGGAGGCCCAACCAGCACACCCCUGAGCAAGCUGGCAUUAAAAUCCCAUCUCCCAGUUGCCUAACUGGAAGUCACCCUGAAAGGAGCAAACACACUCCCUGGGGCAGGAACUUUCUAGUCUUGGCUGAAAUGUGCUCCAUCCCAAGUGCCCAUCCACCCUCAUCCUCCAGACACUGGCAGGCAGCCGCCCCGAGAGGAUUGGAUGUUCCCCGUGCUGCGGUGGCAGUAGGAACAGGCCGUUCAUCAGUGUCUCGGGGUCUGGAAAGCCAGUCUGCACCUCCGUGUCACCGCCACCCCCUGCCAGGGAGUGUGUGUGGUGUAUGUAUUAGCAGGUAAACUGCCCCCCAUAAUGGAGAUGGAUGGGAGCCCAAUUUUGUAACAGAGAACCUUUCAUUAAGAAAACCACUGCCUUUGGAUGAUCUAGAGGCACUCACAGGCUGGCCCCAGCCUGGGACUUAAUUAUCUUACCACUAAUGAGCUGCAGUUACCAGCUUGUUGGGGCAUCUCAGCAACAACAACCGCCUGGCCUUGGGCUCCUUUUCCCCACUGUGGGCCUCGGGUGACAUGGGUAGAGAUUGUAGAGGAUGCGCCAGCUGGGAAGGUCACCAUGAGAAUCACUUCCUAAGAAUGGUCUCUGUCUUCCUGAAGUUCAACAGAGGUGUCUGCAGCAGGAGAGAGGAAAGUAGACAGGUGGAAGUACUUUCUGAUGAGGUGGCCUGGAAAAUGCUUACAUGGGGGCCCUGAGCCUUAACUAUGUCUGUGUCCAUCUCUAGGCCCUAGUAUCCUCCUAGGGUGGAACCACGACGAGAGAGGCCUGGGUUAGGUGAGAAAGGCAGGGAUAGAAAUAUAUUAUAUGCAAGAGUGUCUGUUAUACAGAAGGACUUGUUCUCCUCCCAGCUGUUUGCCUGAUUGAUUCCUGCUGGUCUCAGGGGACGUGCUGCUUCCCCAGGGAGCUCUGCCGAGACUUUACUCUCCACAGUAGAAAACCUCCCUCAUCUCUCCCUGGCACGUCUCCCUGUUUAUAUCCUUUCCAGCUCAUCCUGUCUAUGAUUACCUUGUUUAUUAAUGCAUUUAAUUGUUUACUGUCUGGCUCCCGAGUUUCUGUCCUCUUCAUACCGGCGGGGUCCUCAUCUCUUGCAAACUCUCUACCCUUAGUGCCUAGAAACAUGCUUGGUACAUUGUUGAUGCUCAAUACAUAUUUGUGGAAUGAAAGAAUGAAUGAAUGAACUGUUGAUUAUUUCUGAGAUAUAGAUGUAUUAAUAGCUCAGAGUAGCAUAGUGCCCUUUUUAAAGUUUUUUUUUAAUUGUGGUAAAUUAUACAUAACAUAACCUUUACCAUUUGAAUGUGUAGAGAUUAAAGAGGAUGUGGAGGCUGGGAGGAUCAUCAUGAGGGCCACUUUCUAAGAAUAGCCUCUCUCUCCCUGAAGAUCAAAAGAGGUGACUGCAGCAGGAGAGAGGAAAGUUAGACAGGGGUAAGUACUUUCUGAUGGGAGGACAAAGCCAUCACCAGUGUCCAUCCAUAGAGUUUUUUCAUCUUCCCCAAUGGAUAUUCUAUACCUGUUAAACUCUCACUCCCCAUUUCCCCUGCCCCAGCUCCUAGUAACUUCUAUUCUACUUUCUGUCUCUAUAAAUAUGACUCCUCUAGGGACCUCCUAUAAGUGGAAUCAUGCAAUGCAAAAGUAACUUACUGAGCCUUCUAGUCUGGCGAAGCACCCAGCAUUUUGCCCUGCGUGGAGUCAAUCCGUCAUUUUGUGCCUGAUGUCUCUUACUUGGCAUGAUGUCAUCCAGGUUCACUUGGUUUAGCAUAGGUCGGUACUUUACUCCUUUUUAUGGCAGAGUAAUAUUCCACUGUAUGGAUAAACCACAUUGGGUUUAUCCAUUCAUCCACUGCACAGUGCACUUCUGAGAGAAGACGGGUAGAUGGUGCAAGGUGGGGAAUUAUAUAUUUCUGUUUUGGAAACUUCAGAGUAAGAGAGAGCUUUCCCAUCCAGUCACGUCUCGUGCCUAGUGCUAUGUCCUUUGUGUGCUGGUGACACUAACUUGCUUUACACCUCCAUGCCUUUCCCUAUGCUGUUUCCUGUGCUUGAAGCACCCUUCCCACUGGCCCAUUGUUGGCCUGACAAGUCUCAUGUCGGCUUCAGGGUGAAAACCUCAAUGAAAGUGGAAAUUACAUCUGUUUUAUUCACCUCUGUAUUUCCAGAUCAUUAGAUGCCAUACAUACAGAUAAGCAUGCAUGAGUGAAUAAGUCAUUCCAAGCUACACUCCUCCAGAGGGUCCUCCUUGACUGUACCUCAUGCUAUGGAGCUAAUGCUGGCUGUUUUCGAGUCAGCCACCACACUCAUUGAUUGAUGCUGUGUUUGUCUCUCCUAUUAGACUAUGUGCUCCUUGAGGACAGUGCUUGUGUCUUACUCAUUUUUGUGCCCCUCCCUUGUCCUAUAAUAUACCCAGUGUAGGUAUCUAUUGAAUAAUGCUGAAGGUUGUGCACAGAUGUCAGCUGUUAUUAUCUUCCUUCCCCCUGCCACCCCACCCCAGCUACCUGGCUUCAGGUGGUCUUGUCUUCAUCUCAGCAGGGACUGGGAGCUUAUGCUGUCAGUGACUUGCUGCACAGUGCUAUGAUGUGGAAACCUCCUGCUAUAACUAUCGUAUAACUUCUUACAUCUUUGUGGCACUCAGAUGUUCCUUAGCUUCCUCAAGUCUCCAACAGCCUACUGAUGGUUGACAGAAAAGACUGGCCAGGCGCAGUGGCUCACGCCUAUAAUCCUAGCACUUUGGGAGGCCAA